rnacentral:rRNA from 1 species
CAGUCGCCACGGGAAUACGUAGGUGGCAAGCGUUGUCCGGAUUUAUUGGGCGUAAAGCGAGCGCAGGCGGUCAAUUAAGUCUGAUGUGAAAGCCCCCGGCUCAACCGGGGAGGGUCAUUGGAAACUGGUUGACUUGAGUGCAGAAGAGGAGAGUGGAAUUCCAUGUGUAGCGGUGAAAUGCGUAGAUAUAUGGAGGAACACCAGUGGCGAAGGCGACUCUCUGGUCUGUAACUGACGCUGAGGCUCGAAAGCGUGGGUAGCAAACAGGAUUAGAUACCCGCGUAGUCCCUGUCUCUUAUAC